UAACGCGUGGAUAACCUGCCGUAUACAGGGGGAUAACACUUAGAAAUAGGUGCUAAUACCGCAUAAGCGCACGGUUCCGCAUGGAACAGUGUGAAAAACUCCGGUGGUAUACGAUGGAUCCGCGUCUGAUUAGCCAGUUGGCGGGGUAACGGCCCACCAAAGCGACGAUCAGUAGCCGGCCUGAGAGGGUGAACGGCCACAUUGGGACUGAGACACGGCCCAAACUCCUACGGGAGGCAGCAGUGGGGAAUAUUGCACAAUGGGGGAAACCCUGAUGCAGCGACGCCGCGUGAGUGAAGAAGUAUUUCGGUACGUAAAGCUCUAUCAGCAGGGAAGAAAAAAAGUCCUUUGGACUUUGGACGGUACCUGACCAAGAAGCCCCGGCUAACUACGUGCCGGCAGCCGCGGUAAUACGUAGGGGGCAAGCGUUAUCCGGAUUUACUGGGUGUAAAGGGAGCGUAGACGGCAGCGCAAGUCUGGAGUGAAAUGCCGGGGCCCAACCCCGGAACUGCUUUGGAAACUGUGCAGCUGGAGUGCAGGAGAGGUAAGCGGAAUUCCUAGUGUAGCGGUGAAAUGCGUAGAUAUUAGGAGGAACACCAGUGGCGAAGGCGGCUUACUGGACUGUAACUGACGUUGAGGCUCGAAAGCGUGGGGAGCAAACAGGAUUAGAUA
rnacentral:rRNA from 1 species